rnacentral:lncRNA from 13 species
UUUUCUAGAAGAUUGUUGAAAGAGCAGGUACAUUGUUGGGUCAACAAGAAAUAUGACUUUGCCUCCUAUAAAAUGCCAGAUUUUCAUUCUGAAUGUAAGUCUUGAUUUAAGGGUUGUCUUCCCUGGCUGACAUACUUGAUACUUAUAGAACUGACAGCCACAUAGGUAUUUUGGCAGAAAUACAAAAGCAGACCCAUCCCAUCUCCUCCCUGACAGUAUUUAGCUGAUGAGUUUUUGCUUCUUGCUGCCCGUAUUUCUGCUUCAGUUUCUUUCAGUUUCUCCCUGUUGCAUGGUGUAAACUGGCAUCUCAUGCGGAAAAAGAGGGUUCAGAUUACCCUAGGGAAGUGUAAUGCAGAGGAAUCUCUAUCAGCAUGAAACCAGGGUGGGCACCAACGUGAAAACCUUCGAAUCAGAGCUUCCCUUCUCUGCUACAACGCCUCUCUCUCGGAGUUGCCUGAGAUGGGAGCUGGACUGCAUGGCUUGACCUAGGAGGCAUGUUCAGGUUGGAAGAGACUGAGAGGCAGAACCAGUUCCUGAUCCAGGGAUUGCACCUAAAAUGUCCUGCAUCUAGUUAUAUGUAAUGAAAUACUGGACUCUCAGAAGAGGCACAGAAUGUCAUCCUAAAUACAGAAUCCUAUGCUGCUACAUUGAAGAGGAAGAACUUCAAGGUUUACCAGAAUCAAAUUGCUUAGGCUUUUGCAGAUUGAUAAUAUGACACCUGGAAAUAAUUAUGGGGGAAGAAAAAUGAAAAGUGCCAGACAAGUCCUCCCAAAUAACAUCUACUCAACAGAUUUCCAUUCUGGACUGACAUUCUCUCUAUGGCAUUUCAAUCAAUUCCACUAAAGGAAGCCCACUUAUCUGUAUGUUAAAUGUGCUAAUUCACUGGGUGGAGUAUUGGUCAUGCCAAUACUCUUCUAGUUCCUUUAAGGUCAGGGCCUAUAAUAUACCUUGAGACCUGUUCCCUAGCUCAAGAAGGACAGGGAGCCAUAAGAAAAAACAACAGUGAAGGGAAAGGAAGAAAAUAGCAUCUCCUAUUAGGUUUGCUAUAUCACACGGCCUGUAUAGAAGACCAGUGGGUCAAAGGGCAGCUGAAAAACUCACUAAUAAGGGCACAAAGGGUUUGUUUAUCUUAUAGAGUAAUUCCUGUAUAUCUUAUGUAUCUUUCACUUGUGCCAGUC